rnacentral:lncRNA from 1 species
GAGACAGGAGGAAAAGGGAGGCAUGCACUAGAGAUGUAGAGGCAGAUCCGCAAUGUCAACUAGUGUGGGUCAGAAGACCUGGGUUCAGACCUACCAGCUGGCCUGGGCAAGUUACUUUACCACUUCGAAUCUCAUUGCAAAUUCUUCUUCUUCUUCUUCUUCUUCUUUUUUUUUUUUUAAAGAAACUUCUCUAUAGGAAAAUGCAAAUUAAGACACCAAUGAAAUACCAUUUUAAAACACUAGACUUUGCUUGCUCAGAUGGUCUACAAAUUUUAAAAAAUGAAAGAAACAAGUAGAUAAAAAUAAAAUGAAAGGAAAAAUAAUUUUUAAAAGUUUUAAAAAUCACUAGACUGACAAAAAUUAAGAAGCCUGACCCACUGCUUACAGAUGUGUAAAUUAGUGCAACUUCCUAGGAAAACAGUUUAUCACUAUCUUUUAAAGUUGAACAGCUGCAGGCCAGGCGCGGUGGCUCAUGCCUGAAAUCCCAGCACUUUGGGAGGCCGAGGCGGGUGGAUCACGAGGUCAGGAGAUCAAAACCAUCCUGGCUAACAUGGUGAAACCCCAUCUCUACUAAAAAAAUACAAAAAAUUAGCCGGGUGUGGUGGCAGAUGCCUGUAGUCCCAGCUACUCUGGAGGCUGAGGCAGGAGAAUGGCAUGAGCCCGGGAGGCAGAGCUUGCAGUGAGCCAAGAUCGAGCCACUGCACUCUAGCCUGGGCGACAGAGCGAGACUCCAUCUCAAAAAAAAAAAAGUUGAACAGCUGCAUACUUCUCCAUUCCACUCCUGAGUACAUUCCUACAGAGAAACUCUUAUACAUGUACACCAUGACAUGAAAAAUAAUCUUUUAGCAGCAUUGGUCAUAAUAGCAAAGAUCUUAAAACAACUUGAAUUUCCAUCCACAGGGGAAUGGGUAAAUAGUAUUACAGUCAUUCAGUGGAAUAUUAUAAAACAGUGAAAAGAUGUGAACUCCAACUACAUGAUACAAUAUGUUUGAACAUUAAAGCAUAUUGUUAGUAAACAAAGGCAAAUCUUGGAAGGAUACAUACAGUAUGAUGCAAUUUUUAUAAAGCUCAUAAAUAAUCAAAACCAGCCAUUCAUUGUUUAAAGAUACAUACAUAUGGCUGGGCACAGUGGCUUAUGCCUGUAACCCCAGCACUUUGGGAGGCUAAGGCAGGCGGAUCACCUGAGGUCAGGAGAUGGAGACCAGCCUGGCCAACAUGGUGAAACCCCGUCUCUACUAAAACUACAAAAAUUAGCUGGGCAUGGUGGCAGGCACCUGUAAUUCCAGCUACUCAGGAGCUGAGGCAGGAGAAUCGCUUGAAUCCGGGUGGCAGAGGUUGCAGUGAGCCGAGAUUGUGCCAUUGCACUCCAGCCUGGGCAACAAGAGUGAAACUCCAUCUCAAAAUAAAUAAAGUAAAAUAAAAAUAAAGAUACAUUCAUAUGUGGUUAAAGUAAUUUUUGAAAAAGCAA